rnacentral:rRNA from 1 species
CAGUCGCCGCGGGAAUACGUAGGGUGCAAGCGUUAAUCGGAAUUACUGGGCGUAAAGCGUGCGCAGGCGGUUUGUUAAGACAGAUGUGAAAUCCCCGGGCUCAACCUGGGAACUGCAUUCGUGACUGGCAAGCUAGAGUGUGGCAGAGGGGGGUGGAAUUCCGCGUGUAGCAGUGAAAUGCGUAGAUAUGCGGAGGAACACCGAUGGCGAAGGCAGCCCCCUGGGCCAACACUGACGCUCAUGCACGAAAGCGUGGGGAGCAAACAGGAUUAGAUACCCCAGUAGUCCCUGUCUCUUAUAC